rnacentral:lncRNA from 1 species
CCCCCUCCCAGAGCUGGGCAACCUGCAAUAAAAGGGGGGCCCCAGAGGAGGUGCUGCCUCAGGCUCAGGCGUUGGCAUGGGGGACUUCAAUAGCAGAUCCCUACUUCAUGGCCCACUGGCUCCUCCCCCUGAUGGGGCAGGGCCCUUAGAUCCAUCUCUCCCCAGAGUGUCUCCUCCUCGCUGCCAUGUGGGCUCCCGCCCCUUGCCUAUCCCCAAAUCCUCCUCCACAGCUCACCGGCCAGGCUGCCUGCAUCCCACACCUUACAGUACCUGCCAGCGAUCGCUAGACACUGUGAGGGACGUCCGAUCCUGGACAACCACCCGCAAACUCCAUCCGAGCAGAGCCAGCGCACCCUCUUCCCUCAGACACAGACUCCACACUCCAGGCUCAUCCUCGAAGAGCACAGGCCUCCGGCUGCACUCUCACCCAGCACACCAAGCGCUGCACAGGCAACUGAGUGGUGAGUGAAACCAGGAAAGGUCAAGGCCCUCCAGAUCCCUAGCACCUGCGCCCACCAUUCAGCCCCCGAGCUAAGCCUCCUUCCCCACCCCACCUUGCGCGAGGCUCCUUUAAGAGAGUCUGCAGCUGAAAG